UGCAAGUCGAGCGGCACGCGCGAGAGAGCUUGCUCUCUUGGCGGCGAGUGGCGGACGGGUGAGUAAUAUAUCGGAACGUGCCCAGUAGCGGGGGAUAACUACUCGAAAGAGUGGCUAAUACCGCAUACGCCCUACGGGGGAAAGGGGGGGAUCGCAAGACCUCUCACUAUUGGAGCGGCCGAUAUCGGAUUAGCUAGUUGGUGGGGUAAAGGCUCACCAAGGCAACGAUCCGUAGCUGGUUUGAGAGGACGACCAGCCACACUGGGACUGAGACACGGCCCAGACUCCUACGGGAGGCAGCAGUGGGGAAUUUUGGACAAUGGGGGAAACCCUGAUCCAGCCAUCCCGCGUGUAUGAUGAAGGCCUUCGGGUUGUAAAGUACUUUUGGCAGAGAAGAAAAGGUACCUCCUAAUACGAGGUACGGCUGACGGUAUCUGCAGAAUAAGCACCGGCUAACUACGUGCCAGCAGCCGCGGUAAUACGUAGGGUGCAAGCGUUAAUCGGAAUUACUGGGCGUAAAGCGUGUGUAGGCGGUUCGGAAAGAAAGAUGUGAAAUCCCAGGGCUCAACCUUGGAACUGCAUUUUUAACUGCCGAGCUAGAGUAUGUCAGAGGGGGGUAGAAUUCCACGUGUAGCAGUGAAAUGCGUAAAUAUGUGGAGGAAUACCGAUGGCGAAGGCAGCCCCCUGGCAUAAUACUGACGCUCAGACACGAAAGCUUGGGGAGCGAACAGAAUUAGAUACCCUGGUAGUCCACGCCCCUAACCGAUGUCAACUAGCUGUUGGGGCGGUUGGGCCUUACUCUCGCAACUAACGCCUGAAGUUGAACAACAUGCGUAUUACGGGUGCAGGAUUGAGGAUUAAAUGAUCU
rnacentral:rRNA from 1 species